UGGGGAAUAUUGGACAAUGGGCGCAAGCCUGAUCCAGCCAUGCCGCGUGAGUGACGAAGGUCUUCGGAUUGUAAAGCUCUUUUGGCGGGGACGAUAAUGACGGUACCCGCAGAAUAAGCCCCGGCUAACUUCGUGCCAGCAGCCGCGGUAAUACGAAGGGGGCUAGAGUUGUUCGGAAUCACUGGGCGUAAAGCGCACGUAGGCGGAUUUGUUAGUCAGGGGUGAAAUCCCGGGGCUCAACCUCGGAACUGCCUUUGAUACUGCGAAUCUCGAGUCCGAUAGAGGUGAGUGGAAUUCCUAGUGUAGAGGUGAAAUUCGUAGAUAUUAGGAAGAACACCAGUGGCGAAGGCGGCUCACUGGAUCGGUACUGACGCUGAGGUGCGAAAGCGUGGGGAGCAAACAGGAUUAGAUACCCAUGUAGUCCCUGAGCGGGCUGGCAAGGCGCAU
rnacentral:rRNA from 1 species